GAUGAACGCUGGCGGCGUGCCUAAUACAUGCAAGUCGAGCGAACAGAUGAGGAGCUUGCUCCUCUGACGUUAGCGGCGGACGGGUGAGUAACACGUGGAUAACCUACCUAUAAGACUGGGAUAACUUCGGGAAACCGGAGCUAAUACCGGAUAAUAUAUUGAACCGCAUGGUUCAAUAGUGAAAGACGGUUUUGCUGUCACUUAUAGAUGGAUCCGCGCCGCAUUAGCUAGUUGGUAAGGUAACGGCUUACCAAGGCAACGCUGCGUAGCCGACCUGAGAGGGGGAUCGGCCACACUGGAACUGAGACACGGUCCAGACUCCUACGGGAGGCAGCAGUAGGAAAUCUUCCGCAAUGGGCGAAAGCCUGACGGAGCAACGCCGCGGGAGUGAUGAAGGUCUUCGGAUCGUAAAACUCUGUAAUUAGGGAAGAACAAAUGUGUAAGUAACUAUGCACGUCUGGACGGUACCUAAGCAGAAAGCCACGGCUAACUACGU
rnacentral:rRNA from 1 species